rnacentral:rRNA from 1 species
GCACGCCGAGUCUGCCUUCGGGCGGGCGACAUUCGCCUGUAGCUGGAAGGUUCCCCCCGGGUCCACGGGGGCAACGAUCAGCUGCUGCACGCCUGAACCGUGCAGUUCACAGAUCAAACGCGAGUGGCCCGCGCCCGCGGGUUGAGAUAUGACCGUAGCAGCUCUGCGAAGAGCCUGACACCCUAGUUCCGUAGGUGAACCUGCGGAAGGAUCAUUA